GCCAGGCGUUGUGGCAGGCGCCUGUGCUCCCAGCUACUUGGGAGGCUGAGGUAGGAGACUCACUUGAGCCCAGGAGUUGGAGGUUGCUGUGAGCUGUAAUGCCACGGCACUCUAUCCAGGGGGACAGCUUGGGGCUCUGUCUCAAAAAAAAAAAAAAUCUUGUAAUGUACACUGUAAAUCAUUAGAAUUUUAUUUUGUUUUAUUUUUAUUUUUUUGAGACAGAGCCUCAAGCUGUCCCCCUGGGUAGAGUGCCGUGGCAUUACAGCUCACAGCAACCUCCAACUCCUGGGCUCAAGUGAGUCUCCUACCUCAG
rfam:Otolemur garnettii contig069891, whole genome shotgun sequence.